AUUGAACGCUGGCGGCAUGCCUUACACAUGCAAGUCGAACGGUAACAGGUCUUCGGAUGCUGACGAGUGGCGAACGGGUGAGUAAUACAUCGGAACGUGCCUAGUAGUGGGGGAUAACUACUCGAAAGAGUGGCUAAUACCGCAUGAGAUCUACGGAUGAAAGAAGGGAAUCGCAGGACCUUGUUCUACUAGAUCGGCCGAUGGCAGAUUAGGUAGUUGGGGGGAUAAAAGCUUACCAAGCCGACGAUCUGUAGCUGGUCUGAGAGGACGAUCAGCCACACUGGGACUGAGACACGGCCCAGACUCCUACGGGAGGCAGCAGUGGGGAAUUUUGGACAAUGGGCGCAAGCCUGAUCCAGCAAUGCCGCGUGCAGGAUGAAGGCCUUCGGGUUGUAAACUGCUUUUGUACGGAACGAAAGGCCCUGGGUUAAUACCCUGGGGUCAUGACGGUACCGUAAGAAUAAGCACCGGCUAACUACGUGCCAGCAGCCGCAGUAACAC
rnacentral:rRNA from 1 species